AACAGGGCCGACCUUACAGGACUCCAUGUUGGAGAACUGCCCUUCCUACCACUCACUGAAGAGCAUCUCUGAAUUUAUGAAUAGAGAAGAACGUGCUAAUGAUCAGAGCAGCUGCCUGCUGAUGUGUGUUGAGGAUGCAGGGGAUACACUCCCAACUUCAUCCUGGUAUGCUGUGUUGAAGAACUGCCUGAUACCUUCAACUCUCUGAGAAUAUUCAACAUGCUUCAUGAGAGAGAAAUAUAUUUUAGAUCCAUCCAGACUGUUGAAAUGAUGUUUCCUGAAACAUCUGACUGAUGUCAUUGGAUGGAGGUUUAGUCCAAGAACAUUGACUGUUUCCACAAUGCUUGUCUCUUCUUGGUUGCUAUUGCUGUAUAUUUACUAGAGAUGUUAGUAGAAGAGAGAGAUUUCAUGGGGCUAAGAAUAAAGGUCUCUCUGUGAAAUACCCAGAA